GGAAUAUUGGACAAUGGGGGCAACCCUGAUCCAGCCAUGCCGCGUGUGUGAAGAAGGCCUGCGGGUUGUAAAGCACUUUUGUCCGGAAAGAAAUCGUCCGAGUUAAUACCUUGGGCGGAUGACGGUACCGGAAGAAUAAGCACCGGCAAACUUCGUGCCAGCAGCCGCGGUAAUACGAAGGGUGCAAGCGUUAAUCGGACUUACUGGGCGUAAAGGGUGCGUAGGUGGUCUGUUAAGUCGGAUGUGAAAGCCCCGGGCUCAACCUGGGAAUGGCAUCUGAUACUGGCGGACUUGGAGUCUUGGAGAGGGUGGUGGAAUUCCUGGUGUAGCGGUGAAAUGCGUAGAGAUCAGGAGGAACACUAGUGGCGAAGGCGGCCACCUGGCCAAAGACUGACGCUGAGGCACGAAAGCGUGGGGAGCAAAC
rnacentral:rRNA from 1 species